rnacentral:rRNA from 1 species
AGCGAACGCUGGCGCCAGGCUUUAACACAUGCAAGUCGAGCGGGCGUAGCAAUACGUCAGCGGCAGACGGGUGAGUAACGCGUGGGAACGUACCUUUUGGUUCGGAACAACACAGGGAAACUUGUGCUAAUACCGGAUAAGCCCUUACGGGGAAAGAUUUAUCGCCGAAAGAUCGGCCCGCGUCUGAUUAGCUAGUUGGUGAGGUAACGGCUCACCAAGGCGACGAUCAGUAGCUGGUCUGAGAGGAUGAUCAGCCACAUUGGGACUGAGACACGGCCCAAACUCCUACGGGAGGCAGCAGUGGGGAAUAUUGGACAAUGGGCGCAAGCCUGAUCCAGCCAUCCCGCGUGAGUGAUGAAGGCCCUAGGGUGGUAAAGCUCUUUUGUGCGGGAAGAUAAUGUCGGUGCACAAGAAUA